rnacentral:miRNA from 1 species
GGCGCUGAGCAGGCGGGGCCGGGGCCGGGGUCGGGGCUGGGGCCGGGGCCGGGGCUGGCGCUGAGC